AACGAACGCUGGCGGCAUGCCUAACACAUGCAAGUCGAACGAAACCUUCGUGUCUAUUGGCGCACGGGUGCUGAACGCGUGGGAACCUGCCCUUAGGUUCCGAAUAACUCCCCGAAAGGGAUGCUAAUACCGGUUAAUGUCUUCGGACCAAAGAUUUAUCGCCUUUGGAUGGGCCCGCGUUAGAUUGGCGGGUUGGUAGUGUAAAAGCCUACCAAGGCGACGAUCCAUAGCUGGUCGGAGAGGAUGCUCAGCCACACUGGGACUGCGACACGGCCCAGAACCCUACGGAGGGCAGCAGUGGGGAAUAUUGGACAAUGGGCGAUAGCCUGAUCCAGCAAUGCCGCGUAAGAGAUGAAGGCCUUAGGGUUGUAAAGCUCUCUUACACGGGAUGAUAAUGACAGUACCGGGAGAAGAAGCUCCGGCUAACUCCGUG
rnacentral:rRNA from 1 species